AACAGGAUUAGAUACCCUGGUAGUCCACGCCGUAAACGAUGUCGACUUGGAGGUUGUGCCCUUGAGGCGUGGCUUCCGGAGCUAACGCGUUAAGUCGACCGCCUGGGGAGUACGGCCGCAAGGUUAAAACUCAAAUGAAUUGACGGGGGCCCGCACAAGCGGUGGAGCAUGUGGUUUAAUUCGAUGCAACGCGAAGAACCUUACCUGGUCUUGACAUCCACGGAAGUUUUCAGAGAUGAGAAUGUGCCUUCGGGAACCGUGAGACAGGUGCUGCAUGGCUGUCGUCAGCUCGUGUUGUGAAAUGUUGGGUUAAGUCCCGCAACGAGCGCAACCCUUAUCCUUUGUUGCCAGCGGUCCGGCCGGGAACUCAAAGGAGACUGCCAGUGAUAAACUGGAGGAAGGUGGGGAUGACGUCAAGUCAUCAUGGCCCUUACGACCAGGGCUACACACGUGCUACAAUGGCGCAUACAAAGAGAAGCGACCUCGCGAGAGCAAGCGGACCUCAUAAAGUGCGUCGUAGCCCGGAUUGGAGUCUGCAACUCGACUCCAUGAAGUCGGAAUCGCUAGUAAUCGUGGAUCAGAAUGCCACGGUGAAUACGUUCCCGGGCCUUGUACACACCGCCCGUCACACCAUGGGAGUGGGUUGCAAAAGAAGUAGGUAGCUUAACCUUCGGGAGGGCGCUUACCACUUUGUGAUUCAUGACUGGGGUGAAGUCGUAACAAGGUAACC
rnacentral:rRNA from 1 species